UACGGAGGCUCCUAGCGUUGUUCGGAAUUACUGGGCGUAAAGGGAGCGCAGGCGGAUCGGUAAGUCUGAAGUGGAAUCCCGGGGCUCAACCUCGGACGUGCUUCGGAUACUGCCGGUCUUGAGUGUGUGAGAGGAAAGCGGAAUUCAGGGUGUAGCGGUGAAAUGCUUAGAUAUCCUGAGGAACACCAAUGGCGAAAGCAGCUUUCUGGCACACAACUGACGCUGAGGCUCGAAAGCGUGGGUAGCGAACGGG
rnacentral:misc_RNA from 1 species